AUAUCCCGACGUUUCGUCUGGUUUCGUUUCAUUCAACAUUCGUCGAGUUUUCUUCCUUACCUGUCAGAGGAAAUAAGUGGUCCCCCGCACGCGUGUACCAUGCCUAUCGAGCAGUGUCGCCUGGAAUUCGAACGGUGUGACAGUGAAAUGUACGUGUAGUAGGGAAUAUGUAAACGUAUGCUAUGCAAAGAAACCGGUGACACGUUCUACGUGUGAAGGAUUUUAACGACCGAACGAGCAGUGUCUUUUUUAGACACGUAAGCUUUAGAAAGCCGCUAUAUUCACCCAUUAGUGUGACUUUAUCGACUCAGUCGGUUGCCGGUCUUCCCGGAAUCGAACGUUAUCGCGGCUUCCCGCGAUUUAUUCGUUCGAGCGGAAGGUGUGGCGCGAAAAGUACGGUGCACCGAUAAAAGAGAGCAGGACGAGCGAAUAUCAUCACGUUUCACUCACGGAUUUGUUCCAUUUUUUACGAUGUUCAAGGUUAAGGAAACCCCUUGCUCGUUCACGCCGAUGUUGCCGUGAGGUCGACCGACAAAGAGGAAGCUUUUGCCUUCGAGCGACCAGUGCGUCUCGCCGGUGCGAGAGGAUAGAGGAUAAAAUAACACCGGCAAAAUGUUGAUAAAAGAAUAUCGAAUACCGCUGCCUCUGACCGUAGAGGAGUAUAAAAUUGCUCAGCUUUACAUGAUAGCGAAAAAAUCACGGGAAGAGAGUCAAGGAGCAGGCAGCGGUGUAGAGAUCAUAAUGAACGAGCCUUACAGUAAUGGUCCUGGUGGAAACGGACAAUACACUCACAAAGUGUAUCACGUGGGCAGUCAUCUUCCUGGAUGGUUCAAAAGUUUGCUACCCAGGUCGGCGUUGAUUGUGAAAGAAGAAGCAUGGAAUGCAUAUCCCUAUACGAAAACCCUUUUCACCUGUCCCUUCGUUGAAAAAUUCUCCAUCGAAAUAGAAACGUAUUAUUUCCCUGACAAUGGUUACCAGGAGAACGUGUUCCAACUGAGCCGUAGCGAUCUAAAGAACAGAACCGUGGACGUAAUUGACAUCGUGAAGGAUCAAUACACAGCCGACUACGUGAAAGAGGAGGAUCCUAAAUUGUACGUGUCCCAGAAAACCAACCGAGGACCUCUGACGGAAUCAUGGUUGGAGGAGUACUGGGCCGACGUAAAAGGAAAGCAACAGCCGACGCCAUCCGGAAAGUCGUUAAUGUGCGCGUACAAGCUAUGCCGCGUAGAGUUCCGUUAUUGGGGCCUUCAAACGAAAUUAGAAAAGUUCAUACAUGACGUAGCUUUGCGGAAAACAAUGGUCAGAGCUCAUAGGCAAGCCUGGGCCUGGCAGGACGAAUGGAACAGCUUGACUAUGGAGGAUAUUCGGGAGAUCGAGAGGCAAACGCAACUGGCGCUGCAACGAAGAAUGGCGAACGCGGAAAACGGAGAGGAAGCUGCGAACGAGAACCAGGAAGAAGCUGCUAAUAAUUCAACGAUGACUCCGCAGGAGUCAGAUGUCGCUAUGACUUUAGCCGCGACACUGGGUAGCAUCGAGAAGAACGAGGAUCUUCAGAGUCCACCGAGUGUCAGGAAAGCUGAGAUGACGAGUACAGCUGUUAGUUCGGAGGGUGAAGCAAGCCCCGAAGAUUCGCCGACUGAAGUACCCGAGUUUAGAAGUGCACCUACCGAGAGUAAAGGAGAUACGAAGAAAGGAUGGAAGAAGAGCAAGCCGGCGAUGAAUUCACCGUGUUCGAACAAGAGUUUCGAUAUGCAGAUAGCGAAUUGGAGAAUGGAGAGUAUCGUGAGAGAAUCUGAGUCAAGUAGCGAGGACGAGUUCUUCGAUUGUCAAGAGAACUUUGGAGAUAACUCUUCAUUAGCUAAAUGGAGUUCUUUGGAUCUUCUAGCAGAAGAGGAGGACAAUACGUUCACUUCGCCAACCACGACAAAUAAGGAAGACGACACGAUAUUUUCGCCUUCGUAUCUGCAACGAAUAACCAGUGAACGUAGCAGUAAAAGAUUGCAGAUUUCUACUUCAACCAGUAUCGAUGUCUCGUGUCCGGCCUCACCACAACGUUCAUCGAAUCAACAACCGUGCAAAACAACUGUCCUUAUUAUCGUAAUGCACGCAGGAAGUGUAUUAGACGCCAACGUUGAUCUAACUGCGAAAAAAUCAGACAUCACAACUUUCAAAGGAGCCUUUGAGUCAGUCAUGAGACAACACUAUCCCACUAUGGUUGGACAUAUCGCGAUUAAGUUUGUUUCCUGUCCCUCUAUUUGUACCGAGGGUCUUGGUAUUUUAUCAAGUCUAAGCCCUUACAGUUUCGAUGUAUCCCCUUCUUCUAUGGAUGCUCCUCAAGUGACGCAUGAUACUAUUCCAAUUGGCGCCAUACCUCUACUCGCCAGUUCCACUCCUGAAUAUCAGGAGGCGGUCUCUCAAGUUAUAGCUGGUGCGAAUCAAGUGUAUCAUGAUUUUAUUAAAAGCGAAGAAGGCCGUGGGUUCACAGGGCAGAUCUGCUUUAUUGGAGAUUCAGUAGGAGCGAUUUUAACGUAUGACGCUUUGUGUAGAUCAACUCAUUCUAGACAUAAUAGCGAGAACAAUAUUUUGGAUAAUCAAAUUGUUGAGAAUAACGCUGAAGAUGGCAAACACUUGACCGCGCCUUCUCCUAGAAGGAAAUCUUCUAGUACAAGUGAUAGCUCACAUUGUAGAUUGGACUUUGAAGUAGGAGAAUUUUUCAUGUUCGGUAGUCCGCUUUCUCUAGUUCUGGCGUAUAGAAAAAUCUCUUCAAGCAGUGAAAAAACUAGCAAUAUAAAGAGACCAUUGGUGAAUCAGGUGUACAACUUAUUCCAUCCUACUGAUCCAGUAGCCGCUAGAUUAGAGCCACUGAUCUCUGCGAUGUUCUCUCAUCUUUCGCCCGUAAACGUGGCUCGAUAUCAAAGGUAUCCACUAGGGAACGGUCAGCCUUAUCAUUUGUUGGAAGCAAUUCAGACGAAUCCACAAUUAUUCACGGAUGGAUUAAAUAUUCCAAACAUGUCGGUGCCCCAUUUGAGACGAUUGUCCGAUAUAUCAAUUCAUAGUACAAUGUCUGGUAUGGUGGUUGAAAAUGUUCCUUUACAACUAGUUUCUAAUUUAACGCAAAAAUGGUGGGGCACAAAAAGGUUAGAUUAUGCGCUUUAUUGUCCAGAAGGUUUAGCCAAUUUCCCUACGAACGCUUUGCCUCACCUUUUCCACGCUAGCUACUGGGAAUCCUCUGACGUGAUUGCAUUUAUUUUACGACAAUUAGGCAGAUUUGAUCUGUCGUUACUCGCGAACGAGGAGAAAGAGUUAACUUGCUUCCGUCCAGGUCAACCUAGAGAGAAGUGGAGUAAGAAGCGUACUUCCGUUAAACUUAAGAAUUUUGCUGCCAAUCAUAGAGCAAAUGAUGUAAUCGUUGGAGGAGAAGCACCGCAAGUGUUGGUUGCUAGAUUUAUGUACAGUUAUGUAAUUGGCUCUACCGCUUUAACAGGAGAAAAAGUGGAUAUCCACAUUAUGAAGGAUGCUCCAGCCGGGGAAUGGACGUAUUUAUCCACGGAAACAACCGAUAAGAAUGGUAGAAUAACGUAUAGAAUACCCAAUGAUAAAGCGUUGGGAUAUGGUCUUUACCCAGUUAAGAUGGUUGUUAGGGGUGAUCAUACAUCCAUAGACUUUUUCUUGGCUGUGGUUCCACCGAAGACAGAGUGCGUGGUAUUUAGCAUAGAUGGUUCGUUCGCUGCGAGUAUGUCUGUUAGCGGGAAAGAUCCAAAAGUUUGGCCUGGAGCUGUCGAUGUUGUUAGGCAUUGGCAAGAAUUGGGCUAUUUAAUUAUUUAUAUUACCGCGAGGCCUGACAUGCAGCAGCAACAAGUUGUUUCCUGGUUAUCUCAGCACAACUUUCCUCACGGUUUUGUAUUCUUUGCGGAUGGUAUUUCUAGAGAUCCACUCGGUCAUAAAGCUGCUUACUUACACAAACUUGUGGAGGAACAUGGUGUAAUAGUCCAUCAUGCGUACGGCAGUAGUAAAGAUAUCAGUGUUUAUACUGCGAUCAGUCUUAAGCCAAAUCAAAUCUUCGUGAUUGGAAAUGUAUCAAAGAAACACCGCGCAUUGGCUACAGUCAUCCAGGAUGGUUAUGCUGCUCAUUUAAUUACGCUACAGGCGCACGGAGGCUCGAGACCCGCUCAGGGUAAUGCACGUAUGGUGAUUCCAAGAGGUCAGUUCGGUUUACCUGGACAAAACGCUUCUCUACGGCGACGAAGGUACCUGUUAUGAAGAUGCGUUACGCGGCGUAGUCGAUAUCUCAUGCUCUCGGCAAGAGCCGCCACCAUUCUACGCUCAAACUUAAUGUUUUAUCUAUCAGCCAUACACAUGUCCAGAAUUUGUGGUUAAUCAACUAUGAGUGUCUAGAUGUACAGAGAACUAAAGUUUAUUUCGUUACCUCCUGAAAAUGGUCUGAUCUCACUUUAGCGACCAAGCUCUUUUAGGCUGGCGAAGCGUGCUAUAUCACAACCGACCCCGACUAAGGUGAUAU
rnacentral:misc_RNA from 1 species